rnacentral:rRNA from 1 species
AUAUCCCCCGGGGAAAAUUACAUUCAAUAAGCGGAGGAAAAGAAACCAACAGGGAUUGCUCUAGUAACGGCGAGUGAAGCAGCAAUAGCUCAAAUUUGAAAUCUGGCGUCUUCGACGUCCGAGUUGUAAUUUGUAGAGGAUGCUUCUGAGUAACCACCGACCUAAGUUCCUUGGAACAGGACGUCAUAGAGGGUGAGAAUCCCGUAUGCGGUCGGAAAGGUGCUCUAUACGUAGCUCCUUCGACGAGUCGAGUUGUUUGGGAAUGCAGCUCUAAAUGGGAGGUAAAUUUCUUCUAAAGCUAAAUAUUGGCCAGAGACCGAUAGCGCACAAGUAGAGUGAUCGAAAGAUGAAAAGCACUUUGGAAAGAGAGUUAAAAAGCACGUGAAAUUGUUAAAAGGGAAGGGAUUGCAACCAGACUUGCUCGCGGUGUUCCGCCGGUCUUCUGACCGGUCUACUCGCCGCGUUGCAGGCCAGCAUCGUCUGGUGCCGCUGGAUAAGACUUGAGGAAUGUAGCUCCCUCGGGAGUGUUAUAGCCUCUUGUGAUGCAGCGAGCGCCGGGCGAGGUCCGCGCUUCGGCUAGGAUGCUGGCGUAAUGGUCGUAAUCCGCCCGUCUUGAAACACGGACCAAGGAGUCUAACAUCUAUGCGAGUGUUCGGGUGUCAAACCCCUACGCGUAAUGAAAGUGAACGGAGGUGAGAACCGCAAGGUGCAUCAUCGACCGAUCCUGAUGUCUUCGGAUGGAUUUGAGUAAGAGCAUAGCUGUUGGGACCCGAAAGAUGGUGAACUAUGCCUGAAUAGGGUGAAGCCAGAGGAAACUCUGGUGGAGGCUCGCAGCGGUUCUGACGUGCAAAUCGAUCGUCUAAAUUUGGGUAUAGGGGGGCCG